rnacentral:sRNA from 1 species
GUCAGGUGUGGUGGUGCACACCUGUAAUCCCAGCUGCUUGGGAGGCUGAGGCAAGUUCAAGGCCAGCCUGAGCAACUUAGUGAGACUCUGUCUCAA